rnacentral:rRNA from 1 species
GUGGGGAAUCUUGCGCAAUGGGCGAAAGCCUGACGCAGCCAUGCCGCGUGGAUGAUGAAGGUCUUAGGAUUGUAAAAUCCUUUCACCGGUGAAGAUAAUGACUGUAGCCGGAGAAGAAGCCCCGGCUAACUUCGUGCCAGCAGCCGCGGUCAUACGACGGGGGCUAGCGUUGCUCGGAUUUACUGGGCGUAAAGGGCGCGUAGGCGGACAUUUAAGUCAGGGGUGAAAUCCCGGGGCUCAACCUCGGAACUGCCUUUGAUACUGGGUGUCUUGAGGAUGAGAGAGGUGUGUGGAACUCCGGGUGUAGAGGUGAAAUUCGUAGAUAUUCGGAAGAACACCAGUGGCGAAGGCGACACACUGGCUCAUUACUGACGCUGAGGCGCGAAAGCGUGGGGAGCAAACAGGAUUAGAAACCCGGGUAGUCC